UGGGUUAUGUGCCAGUCCUAAUGGGAGUUCUUUAGGUUACUAGAGUAAAGCUGUCAAAGCAGUGUGGGACUCUGUACCCCAAGGUUACUGGUUUGCUCUGCCUCAUGUUUCUGCCAUAUUGUGCUUCUUCUCAACAGACACAGGAUCAGCAUCCUCUCCACAGACUCAUGAGCACCAGGACCAACAACCACAAACUGGAACCAGUGAGUCCAUAAGCCAAAAUAAAUGCUCUUUUCAUUAUAAUUGAUUGCAUCGGAUGUUUGCUACAGUAACAGAGAGUUGACACCUAUACGGAACACUUAUCCUGGCUUCAAUAUGAAACAUAUUAAGAAUGUCUAGCAGACUCUUUCAGGAAGCAGGAACCCAGAAGGAUAAUCUCACCUUUAGUGAUGUUAUGGAAGGAGGAUCUAUACACAUGAGGAGAGAAGAAGAAGAGGAGGAACACAUCCAGAAGAAGAGGAACUCCCCACCUCCAGAGCUGAAGUUGGAGAUGGCUCUGAGCCUCUCAAUGAGGUGCUGGGGCCUGACCUCAGAUCCUCUGCAAGAACAGUAGGUUCUCUUGAUCAGUGAACCACCUCUGUCCACCCAGCUGCAUGAAAAUGCAAUUCACAAAUUCACCUGAAAAAUCUGGCCUCUUCCAGGGAUUCUACUAAUCUAGUUCUUUCUCUGGGAAAACCAAGUGAAGCAGCUUUGUCGGGACUUUGCACAGUCAAUCACCUGGUUGCCGGAAGCCAGCCUCCUGCCCUCCUCGCUGUCCGUAGAAUGGCUGCCCACAGAAUCACGAAAGGCCUUGUCACUUUAGGAUAUCUGAGCAGGUCAAGGGCAGCUCUGGCAUGCAGCAACAAU